rnacentral:sRNA from 1 species
CUCAGAUAUGGAGGGAUUAAUAGACAGUUUGAAUAAGGAUAAGUGGCAGGAGGUAUCCCGUGAUAAAAAAUCAGACGGUUACCAAGAGUAUCACGUGAACCCUCACGCCCACAAGAAGCUGGACAACGGAAUCUUCGUCUACAUGAUCGAAAACGACCUCAUAGACCCCAAGAAGGUCACCUUGGAGUUUGCCCAGAAGGAUCCCAUCAAGCAAGUCGCGCUGCUGGAGAUUAAACUCAACGAUGACGGCACUAAGAUCGUCGGCCUUGACCUGGAUGGCGACAUCGUGGAGCUGAAAUAGUUUCCUUGUAGUUUAGAAACGAAUUUUUGUUUUGUUUCAUUUCAUUUUCUUAAGUUGUUUCUUUUUGUAUUUUUAAAAGACCGGCUUGAACUUGUUAUGCCUCUAUGUGGUUUGGUUGCCCUCUUGUUAAUGUCCUAGACAUAAUGCACUACGUGCCCCAUGAGCAUAGAGACUACACAGAAGAAUGCUGUUGAGGAAUCUAAUCAAGAUAUUUUAAAGCAUAAAGACUUCCUAUAUAUCAUUUCGAAGUUUUCACGUGUGCCCACAUACAACGUAGGGAGAUAUACAAAUUGGAUGUUUUCAAAAUAUGUUCCGAAGAAGAGAUGUUAUGUAUUAAAACAAUCUGAUAUUUGAAAUAUGUACUCAAGAUGUUUUGAUCUCAAAAACAAAGGGAAACAAUCAUCCUCAAACAAGAGAGACAAUCCUGUAUUAAAAAAUUUGGCAAAUAAAGCGUUCAAAAUGAAUUGAUAUAUUUUGUGCUAUGCAUGCUUCGAAUAUAUUGUGCCACAAUUAUGAACCCUUAUGCACCCACAGUUUUUUUUAUUGCCUUUUCUUUUUAUGUAUUCCCUAAACCCCUUUUUUUCUCUUCCCCAGUAUUAUUGAAUUAUUUAAACGCGUGGAUUCCCUACCAUCUGAUCAAACAUUAUCCUAUCCAUGUUUGUGUGACUGCUUUGAUGUGGCGUUGAAUGGAAUCAUUCUCAUAAGCUAUUCCUGUUCAUAUAAUGUGUCAUAUUUAUUGUAAAUGUUCUGCAUCUAGAGUUUGUUUUUCAAUUAUCGUUUGAAUGUUUAAGGUAAAGACUAGAAGUAUCGUAGGUCUAGAGCCAGGAUAAAUUAUAAUAAUCUAGAUGGCAACGGAUUUGUGUCUGGUUUAUGAUCCCGCUACACUGUUACCAUGAAUUGGCCAUUGUUUCUAGAAUGGCAUGAAUGUUGUCGAGUUUGGGAAUAAAACGGAACAUGUACGUUUGACUUCAGUUGAAGUCCAGUUCUAUUACGUCAAGCAUGGAACGGCGUGAGAGAUUGAUUAUGAUUAGCAAUGAGCAAUGCCUUCUUAUUGAACUGCGGGGAAUAAACCUGUGCAAUGAGCCUUGCAGAACUUGAAUACUUAUUGAGAUUGAAUUGUUGUAGGCCUAUCUAUGUAUGUAAUGGUAUGAAAAUAACAACUUUCUGUCCUGGUUUUAUGAUAUCUCGGUCUUUCCGUGGCGGACAUUGUCGUUCAUUGUGUGAUAUUAAUACAUCUUUUAUAUCAACAAUCAAA